UACGUAGGGGGCAAGCGUUGUCCGGAAUCAUUGGGCGUAAAGCGCGUGUAGGCGGUUCGUUAAGUCUGUUGUGAAAGCCCCGGGCUCAACCUGGGAAUGGCAAUGGAUACUGGCGAGCUAGAGUGUGUCAGAGGAUGGUGGAAUUCCCGGUGUAGCGGUGAAAUGCGUAGAGAUCGGGAGGAACAUCAGUGGCGAAGGCGGCCAUCUGGGACAACACUGACGCUGAGGCACGAAAGCGUGGGGAGCAAACAGG
rnacentral:rRNA from 1 species